rnacentral:lncRNA from 1 species
AGUUAUCGGCACUAAUCUUGAGCUCUGACCUUCACCUGCGCAGAAGUAAUUUAUUGGGUCCCUUUUGUGGUAUUCGUGAGGCGCGGGGGCGGGCUAAAGCGGUGAUUGGCCCGCAGUGCAUCGCGUCAUAGCCGUCACUUGGGAUUGCUUCUUUGCUAAUAAAUCACUUCUGCGCAGAUGUAGGUCAGAGCUCAAGAUUCGUGCCGAUAACUAUACCAUGGAGAACGAAAUGACUAGCGGAGAUGUCAUAACGCAAAAUCUCCUAGGAAAGUAGCGCGACAACAUGCGGGUGUUCGGGGGACGAGGAACGUUACUAGCUCCGCCCUUAUACGCCUUCUUUGGACCCGACCAUUUUUUGUAAUACCAAAAAUCAUUGACAGAUGUCCAAAAUAACUGAUGAUGAUGUCCUCCUAGCCGAUUAUCGGCCUCGGCGGCUGUUCUCAUGUAAGUAGAUCAGCCAGCUGCGCAGGACAUAUUAUAGUGCACAAGCGUUUGCUUGGACACAGGUGCACUCACUAUUCCUUCACUCUCAUAGCGCGAUGGGACGGCAAUCCGACACCACCGGAGAGAGAUCAGGCGCAGGACCGACAUUUACGUGCUCUCCGAUGCACGGGUGUAUCAAUCACCAACUCCCAGACUACGGGCUGCUUUGUGAAAGUCUUCUAAAAGCCACAAAGCGAUUUCGGCCCGUCCCGGGAAUCGAACCCGAGACCUCGUGCUCAGCAGCCGCACUUGCGACAGCUAGACCAACGAGGAAAAAACUAGAACGCCUCGUUAGUUCACUCAUAACUGAUUGUUUUGGGCAUGACCUAGAAGAAGGCGCUUGACCUACCUGCAUUAUGGUAUCUCCGUUCUCUCAUCUUUCCUUACUCCAUGGCUAGUUAGAAAUAGACUUUUUCUUCUUAGCGGCUUACAUCGACUUUAUACUUGUAAGUGGCUUUCUGUAAGUCAUCAUCAUGAGCCUUUUUAUCGUCCCACUGCUGGGCUGCGGCCUCCUCUCACACGGAGAAGGAUUGAGCACUAAUCACCAUGUGCAAGAGAUAUAACAUUUCGAAGUCGUAUAACGAAACGUACUUUGUCAUCAACAGUUAAAAAAAAUUAAAUAGGUAAUAAAAAAAAAAUAAUGUUUUAAAACAAAAAACACGCUAGUCAUGUAUUGUCAUCAGAACUCAGAGCGUGUGCAAAAUUUCAUCCUAAUCGAAGACCGGGAAGUGGGUCAAAUUAAGAUUCCAAGAUUUUCUUACGUACAUAGUUACAAGUGAAGCUAAUAUAAGCGUGUUAAUAAUGGCAAAAAGGAAAAAGAAGUCAGUCCAAUUAUUAACCGAAUGUCCCGAGAGGUUUUGAAAAAAAAAUGUCCAGAACUCUGGCUUUCUUGAACCAAACUAUUUAAAGAGCUCGGCCCAAUGAUUUCUUUUAACCUCGAAAAGGCUGUCACGUAGUAGGUACAACGCCAUCUAUGAUCCUCUUGGGAACUAUUGUUAUUUUUAAGAAAAAAUCCCAUUACUUGAGAAAAGCUUACAAGUGUAAGGCCAGUCCUAAAUAUCUUUCUAGAUAAUUACAAAAACUUUUAAACGUCUGUUGUAAUUCUAGAUUUUUGACCUGUGGUUAAAAAUGGAUGAUUUCACAGUGGGUUUUCAAAUAAAUAUAUACGAGGUUUAUUUUCACCGACAAUAUAAAAGUCAGUUUUCUUAAAACAAAUGUUUAAUAUGAAUAUCGGGUGUGUCGUUUACAAUCACAUUAAAUGAAAUGCGUUAAUAUAUGUCGAUUAACACAAAGAAAAAAGAAAAAUAACACCAUAUAAAAGUCAGUCAUUACAAACAACUGAAAUUCUCCCUUGAAAACUGACAGCUGUCAACUGGUCAAAACAUUCGAUACUCCUAACUUUAUCUCUGCUUUACACAUGAUGUUGUAAAUUAUGAAAACGAAAAAUGCCUCCUGUGGCCAAACCACUGAAUGGAUUAGGUAUUUUUUUUUACAAUUCGCCAUAGAAUAUCAUAAAGUAUAUACGAUAGGAUUUAUGUGAUUGUGAACGACACACCCUGUAUAAACAUACAAUAUUCAAAAUGACAAAUGUUUUAAGAAAUAUGGACGUUUAUGUUGUCGGCGUACCUGAGCCUAAAAAAAAUAACAUUUAUUUGACAGAUGUAUGAUAAAUGAAAUGUUGCCAUAUGCAAUUAAUACUAAACGCAGUAAUAUUGAUAAAAAAAAACAUUCUUUCGUAUAUAUGAAUAUUUUUAUUGUAAUCGUAAAAAAUAAAGUUGAGUUUCUAGAAAAUUC